rnacentral:rRNA from 1 species
GAUGAACGCUAGCGGCAGGCUUAACACAUGCAAGUCGAGGGGGUAGAAGGAGCUUGCUCCUUUGAGACCGGCGCACGGGUGCGGUAACGCGUAUGCAAUCUACCUUUUGCAGAGGAUAGCCCAGAGAAAUUUGGAUUAAUACCUCAUAGUAUGUGAGGAUGGCAUCAUUUUCACAUUAAAGUCACAACGGCAAAAGAUGAGCAUGCGUCCCAUUAGCUAGUUGGUAAGGUAACGGCUUACCAAGGCUACGAUGGGUAGGGGUCCUGAGAGGGAGAUCCCCCACACUGGUACUGAGACACGGACCA